rnacentral:lncRNA from 1 species
CUUGUCAGAUUUUAACUCUAACUCUUUAUUUCUCAAUACAUUUAUUAUCACAUCAGUAGUUAGAGUCUCCCUUCCAUAUUCAAUAGCAUUUUUGACAUCUUUAUAUUUAUCACUUAGUGAAUUUAACAAAAUCACAGCCAGCUGCUCUUUUGAGAGUUUCUCAUCACAGUCGGCUAGGUCACGGGAUAAUCUGUUGAAUCUAUUAAUGUUAGCGUCAAGAUCAAGAGAUGGGUCCAAUUUGAAACCAAAAAAUUGUUUUAGAAGAUACACUUUAUUAGGCAUGGUUUUAUUCAAAUAAGUAUCUUCCAAUUUUUUCCACAACUCAGCAGCAGUUUUUGUCUCACCAAUUUCUCUCAACACAUUGUCAGACAAAUGCAAGAAUAUAGAACUCCAUGCAAUUUCAUCAAAUUCAGUUUUCUUAAUUUCUUCCAUAUCAUUAGGCCAUGAUUUUUGUUGAAGCAAAAGGGCUCGCAUUUUCUGGCGCCAGAGACUAAAGUCUCCUUUACCAUUAAAAAUCUCCAAUUCAACUUUAGUUGACAUUAUCAAAACUCAAUUUGAUAAAAAAAACAAUGCAGGCAGAUCACAUACAAAGUCAACAGUAUAUUCAACUUGCAGGAACUCAAAUGUCAUACACCAUAAUCAAAUUUAAAGUGCACAGUUAGCAAGUGAGUUAUACAAUACAUGUUAUGCAGUAAGAUCUCAUCAGUCCAUUCACCACAUGAAUAAGCAGUUUACACAAAAACCAGCAGUGUCAAGUCACAAGUAUAACAUGCCAUAUACAUUAUAAUAAACUCAUGCAGAAAACAUA